UCCUCUCCUCCGUCUCCGCAAAUGUCGGUCGCCCUCUCCUCGUUCCCAGGCCCUUGUCGUUCUCCCCCUGUCACUGCCUCUCCCUCCAUCCCACCCAGUCCAGAUGCAGAUGCAGGAGGCAAAAAGAAGACUUCGGAAGCCUGCAUUAGUCCACUUGGCUUAUGCGAAAGUUAUAAAGAAGCUCAACUUCUGCGGCUAGGAAAUCAGGACAGACAGGAUGGAGUUUGGCAUGGUUGACAGAUUGACGAAUACUGUACCAACUGCUGCAUUCCUCACGAUGAUUUGAAUUUUUCUUUUCCAACUGCCGUUUGAUGCAUUCUGUCUGUUUUUGUUUUCUGCACAAUAUGGAUGAUAAAGCCCAACUGUUUUCUGCCAUGUACAAUCUUCAUCAGCAUAAUAGUGGGAAUGGGAUAACUGGUGCCUGUGAAGAGACCAGUCUUGCACA